GGAUAAUGGAGUCUAUAAGGAACAGCCUUUAGUCUGAUGGUGCUGGCACUCACACAGGAUGCCAAAAUGCCAAGCCACCUUGUCUCAUUCUUGGCAAAUUGAGUCACUGAAGACUCCUGAAUUCUGCCUGCAUGGAUGACAGCAAUGCAAUUAAAGGAAGGCGCUACUAAAAAUAACAGGCCUAUUUUUUUCUGCGUGGGACAAGAUUCCUGUCCAGAGGGAAGAGUUCAGGACAUAUCUUCCAUCUGGACCCUACCUAACCUAAAAGGAAACACUUCCAUCUACUCUCCUUUGUGGCGAAGAGGAAAAUCCAGAGAUGUGAACUGACUCCCUUCAGAUCAGCCUUGGUACUACAGAGUCUGCAUCUUCCAUAAUCCUAACUGGAGCUCGAUCCAUCUUCCAUAGCCAGACUGGGAAACAUACUGUUUGAUCACGUCAAGAGCCUUCAAGGAACCAAUGCUUAGAUAACCUGGAGAUACUCUGCCAGAAGACAUGUAAAGGG